rnacentral:ncRNA from 1 species
UUAAAGUUUUAUUUAAGCUUAAGAUAGUUAUUGUUUAAUUUUAUAAUAUAUAAAUAUAAGAAUUUUAAUAUAAAGUUAUAAUUAUAAAAAUUAAAAUAAAUAGGAAUAUUGAUUUAGAAAUUUAUAAUAAUAACAACAAAAAUUGUGCCAGCAGUUGCGGUUAUACAGUUGUUAUGAGUGAUUAAGAUUAAAUUUAUAAUAAUUAGUAAUUUUAUAGAAUAAAUAUUAUAUUAUUAAGUGAAAUUUUAAUAUAAUUUUUUUAGAAUGAUAUUUUUGAUUUAUUAAAAUAUAUAAAAAACUAGGAUUAGAUACCCUAUUAUAUUAAAGUAGAAAAGAAAAUUGGUUAGUAUUAGUUAUAUUCUUGAAAAUUAAAAUAUUUGGCGGUAUUAAAAUUUUUUAGAGGAACCUGUUUUGUAAUUGAUAUUCCACGAUUAAUUAUACUUAUUUUAAUAAAUUUAUAUAUCGUUGUAGUUGAAUUUUUUAUAAGAAUUUUAAUAUUCAAAAUUUUAAAUUAAAAAUUAAAUCAGAUCAAGAUGUAGUUUAUAAAUAUAGAAAAAAUGGGUUACAGUUAUAGAUAAUAAUAGUUUAAAUUUUGAAAAAUUUUAAUAAAAUGGAUUUAAGAGUAAUUUUAUUAAUUUAAUUAAAAUGAUUUUAUAAAUUUAAUAUGUACAUAUUGCCCGUCGCUUUCGUUUAAUAUGAAAUAAGUCGUAACAAAGUAGUUGUACUGGAAAGUGUAGCUAGAUUUAA